GACGAACGCUGGCGGCGUGCUUAAUACAUGCAAGUCGAACGGACAGGCCCUGCUCUUGUGGCGUGCUCGAUAGGCGAACGGGGGAGUAACACGCGUGUAUCCCGCCCUUGUCUUUGGGAUAACUCUAGGAAACUGGGGCGAAAAUCGCAGAGGAUCUUUUGCUCCGCGUUGGGGGAUGGAAAGUUUCGGUGGUGGGGGAUGGACUCGCUGGUUAUCAGCUGGUUUGUGGGGUAGGUGCGUACCAAGCCUAUGACGGCUAGGCGGCCUGGGAGGGUGACCGGCGACAAGAGGCCUAAGAGACGGCGCAGAAUCCAACGGGAGGCAGCAGGGGGGAGUAUUGCACAGUAGGCGGACGCCUGAUGCGGCAACGCCGCGUGCGGGAUAACGGCCUACGGGUUAUAAACCGCUGUCGACUGUAACGAGGAGUGAGUGACGGUAAUGGGUCAGAAAGCAACGGCUAACUACGUG
rnacentral:rRNA from 1 species